UACAGAGGGUGCUAGCGUUAAUCGGAUUUACUGGGCGUAAAGCGUGCGUAGGUGGUUUGAUAAGUCGAUUGUGAAAGCCCCGGGCUUAACCUGGGAAUUGCGGUCGAUACUGUCAGACUCGAAAACGGUAGAGGGAGGUGGAACUCCAGGUGUAGCGGUGAAAUGCGUAGAUAUCUGGAAGAACACCGAUGGCGAAGGCAGCCUCCUGGGCCUGUUUUGACACUGAGGCACGAAAGCGUGGGUAGCAAACAGG
rnacentral:rRNA from 1 species